rnacentral:rRNA from 1 species
AACGAACGCUGGCGGCAGGCCUAACACAUGCAAGUCGAACGCUGCAGCAAUGCAGAGUGGCAGACGGGUGAGUAACGCGUGGGAACCUUCCCAGUGGUACGGAAUAGCUCAGGGAAACUUGAGGUAAUACCGUAUACGCCCUUACGGGGAAAGAUUUAUCGCCAUUGGAUGGGCCCGCGUCGGAUUAGCUAGUUGGUGAGGUAACGGCUCACCAAGGCUACGAUCCGUAGCUGGUUUGAGAGAAUGACCAGCCACACUGGGACUGAGACACGGCCCAAACUCCUACGGGAGGCAGCAGUGGGGAAAAUUGGACAAUGGGCGCAAGCCUGAUCCAGCCAUGCCGCGUGAGUGACGAAGGCCUUAGGGUUGUAAAGCUCUUUUGGCGGGGACGAUAAUGACGGUACCCGCAGAAUAAGCCCCGGCUAACUUCGUGCCAGCCGCCGCGGUAAGAC